GCUCCUCCGGAUUAGUGGCGAACGGGUGAGUAAUACGUGAGCAAUGUGCCCUUGACUCUGGGAUAAGCGCUGGAAACGGCGUCUAAUACCGGAUACGACGAUCGGAGGCAUCUCCUGGUCGUGGAAAGAACUUCGGUCAAGGAUCAGCUCACGGCCUAUCAGCUUGUUGGUGAGGUAACGGCUCACCAAGGCGACGACGGGUAGCCGGCCUGAGAGGGUGACCGGCCACACUGGGACUGAGACACGGCCCAGACUCCUACGGGAGGCAGCAGUGGGGAAUAUUGCACAAUGGGCGCAAGCCUGAUGCAGCAACGCCGCGUGAGGGACGAAGGCCUUCGGGUUGUAAACCUCUUUUAGCAGGGAAGAAGCGAAAGUGACGGUACCUGCAGAAAAAGCACCGGCUAACUACGUGCCAGCAGCCGCGGUAAUACGUAGGGUGCAAGCGUUGUCCGGAAUUAUUGGGCGUAAAGAGCUCGUAGGCGGUUUGUCGCGUCUGCUGUGAAAACCCGAGGCUCAACCUCGGGCUUGCAGUGGGUACGGGCAGACUAGAGUGCGGUAGGGGAGAUUGGAAUUCCUGGUGUAGCGGUGGAAUGCGCAGAUAUCAGGAGGAACACCGAUGGCGAAGGCAGAUCUCUGGGCCGUAACUGACGCUGAGGAGCGAAAGCAUGGGGAGCAAACAGGCUUAGAUACCCUGGUAGUCCAUGCCGUAAACGUUGGGAACUAGAUGUGGGGACCAUUCCACGGUCUCCGUGUCGUAGCUAACGCAUUAAGUUCCCCGCCUGGGGAGUA
rnacentral:rRNA from 1 species